rnacentral:rRNA from 1 species
AUUGAACGCUGGCGGAAUGCUUUACACAUGCAAGUCGAGCGGCAGCGCGGGGGCAACCCUGGCGGCGAGCGGCGAACGGGUGAGUAAUGCAUCGGAACGUACCCAUUUGUGGGGGAUAACUGUCCGAAAGGACAGCUAAUACCGCAUAAGUCCUGAGGGAGAAAGCGGGGGAUCGCCAGACCUCGCGCGAAUGGAGCGGCCGAUGCCGGAUUAGCUAGUUGGUAGGGUAAAGGCCUACCAAGGCGACGAUCCGUAGCUGGUCCGAGAGGAUGAUCAGCCACACUGGAACUGAGACACGGUCCAGACUCCUACGGGAGGCAGCAGUGGGGAAUUUUGGACAAUGGGGGCAACCCUGAUCCAGCCAUUCCGCGUGAGCGAAGAAGGCCUUCGGGUUGUAAAGCUCUUUCGGCAGGAACGAAACGGUCCUGGAUAAUACCUAGGGCUAAUGACGGUACCUGAAGAAGAAGCACCGGCUAACUACGUGCCAGCCGCCGCAGUAAUAC